GUCAAUGAGGGUGAGAAUCCUGUUUGUCAUGUGCAGCCCUUUGUGCACGGUGUAUAUUUGCUGAGUCACACUCCUUGGCAUUGGAAUGCAAAGUGGGUGGUAAGUUUCAUGUAAAGGUAAACAUGCAAUUGAGACUGAUAGCACACAAGUACCAUGAGGGAAAUAUGAAAAGGACUUUGAAAAGAGAAUUAAAUGAGUUUGUAUUUGCUGAACACAAAGUAAACAGACUUGAUUUGCUUGGUGGGAGUGUUGCACUUGCUUGACAAGAGCUUUGGGCUGUGGGUGUAAUGAUUCUUUCUUUGCAUGCCAGUUUCUAUUUGUACAUCUGAUUACCUUUGCACAUGAAUGAUAAGUCUCCUGUGGGGGGUGGAUUGCAUGUGCAUGUAAUGAUUUGUGUUUUGAUAAAUGUGUCUGGUGUAUGUGUGUGUUCCUGUGCUUGGGGAUGCUUCCUUCCUUGGACUUACAAGCCCUGACACACACAUGCUGGCAAAAUGCUUCUGCUUGACCCGUCUUGAAACACGGACCAAGGAGUCUAACAGAUGUGCAAAGUUUGAAGGUGGUAUACCUUUGUGUGCAAUGAAAGUGUCAGCUGGGAUAUGUGCACCAGCACCCAAUUAAUUAGCGGACAGAGGUUUGAGUUGGAGCAUAUCUAUUAGGACCCGAAAGAUGGUGAACUAUGCCUGAACAGAAUGAAUUCAGAGGAAACUCUGAUGGAGGUUCGUAUCGAUACUGACGUGCAAAUCGUUCGUCAUAUUUGGGUAUAGGGGCGAAAGACUAAUCGAACCAUCUAGUAGCUGGUUCCCUCCGAAGUUUCCCUCAGGAUAGCUGGAGUUGCUCAGUUUUAUCAGGUAAAGCGAAUGAUUAGAGGAAUUGGGGACAGGUUUGUCUUUGACCUAUUCUCAAACUUUAAAUGGGUAAUAUGUAGUGGUUGCUGUAUGGAACUUCUAAGAUAAAUGGCAAUAUUGGGUGGGCCAUUUUUGGUAAGCAGAACUGGCGAUGAGGGAUGAACCUAAUGUGGGGCUAAGGUGCUUAAUU
rnacentral:rRNA from 1 species